rnacentral:misc_RNA from 1 species
AGUCGUAACAAGGUUUCCGUAGGUGAACCUGCGGAAGGAUCAUUACCGUGGGGAUCUCACGAUCCCUACCGAGAUAGAACCCUUGCCUUGCAUACCCUCCGUUUCCUCGGCAGGUCCGCCUGCCAAUGGGGACAAACAAAACCUUUUUGCAAUAGCAGUAACCGUAUCAAAACAAAACAUUUUAAAACUUUCAACAACGGAUCUCUUGGUUCUGGCAUCGAUGAAGAACGCAGCGAAAUGCGAUAAGUAGUGUGAAUUGCAGAAUUCAGUGAAUCAUCGAAUCUUUGAACGCACAUUGCGCCCUUUGGUAUUCCUUAGGGCAUGCCUGUUCGAGCGUCAUUUAACCCCUCAAGCAUUGCUUGGUGUUGGGCGUUUGUCCCGCCUCGGGCGUGGACUCGCCUUAAAAUCAUUGGCGGCCUGUGUAUUGGCUUCGAGCGCAGCACAAUCGCGUCUUCGACCCAGCACACUGGUGUCCAGUAAGCUAUCCACCCAAUUUUGACCUCGGAUCAGGUAGGGAUACCCGCUGAACCUAAGCAUAUCAAU